rnacentral:rRNA from 1 species
GUAAACGAUGAGUGCUAAGUGUUAGGGGGUUUCCGCCCCUUAGUGCUGCAGCUAACGCAUUAAGCACUCCGCCUGGGGAGUACGGUCGCAAGACUGAAACUCAAAGGAAUUGACGGGGGCCCGCACAAGCGGUGGAGCAUGUGGUUUAAUUUGAAGCAACGCGAAGAACCUUACCAGGUCUUGACAUCCUCUGACAACCCUAGAGAUAGGGCUUUCCCUUCGGGGACAGAGUGACAGGUGGUGCAUGGUUGUCGUCAGCUCGUGUCGUGAGAUGUUGGGUUAAGUCCCGCAACGAGCGCAACCCUUGAUCUUAGUUGCCAGCAUUCAGUUGGGCACUCUAAGGUGACUGCCGGUGACAAACCGGAGGAAGGUGGGGAUGACGUCAAAUCAUCAUGCCCCUUAUGACCUGGGCUACACACGUGCUACAAUGGACAGAACAAAGGGCUGCAAGACCGCAAGGUUUAGCCAAUCCCAUAAAUCUGUUCUCAGUUCGGAUCGCAGUCUGCAACUCGACUGCGUGAAGCUGGAAUCGCUAGUAAUCGCGGAUCAGCAUGCCGCGGUGAAUACGUUCCCGGGCCUUGUACACACCGCCCGU